GAUGAACGCUGGCGGCGUGCCUAAUACAUGCAAGUCGAGCGAACGGACGAGAAGCUUGCUUUUCUGAUGUUAGCGGCGGACGGGUGAGUAACACGUGGAUAACCUACCUAUAAGACUGGGAUAACUUCGGGAAACCGGAGCUAAUACCGGAUAAUAUUUUGAACCGCAUGGUUCAAAAGUGAAAGACGGUCUUGCUGUCACUUAUAGAUGGAUCCGCGCUGCAUUAGCUAGUUGGUAAGGUAACGGCUUACCAAGGCAACGAUGCAUAGCCGACCUGAGAGGGUGAUCGGCCACACUGGAACUGAGACACGGUCCAGACUCCUACGGGAGGCAGCAGUAGGGAAUCUUCCGCAAUGGGCGAAAGCCUGACGGAGCAACGCCGCGUGAGUGAUGAAGGUCUUCGGAUCGUAAAACUCUGUUAUUAGGGAAGAACAUAUGUGUAAGUAACUGUGCACAUCUUGACGGUACCUAAUCAGAAAGCCACGGCUAACUACGUGCCAGCAGCCGCGGUAAUACGUAGGUGGCAAGCGUUAUCCGGAAUUAUUGGGCGUAAAGCGCGCGUAGGCGGUUUUUUAAGUCUGAUGUGAAAGCCCACGGCUCAACCGUGGAGGGUCAUUGGAAACUGGAAAACUUGAGUGCAGAAGAGGAAGGUGGAAUUCCAUGUGUAGCGGUGAAAUGCGCAGAGAUAUGGAGGAACACCAGUGGCGAAGGCGGCUUUCUGGUCUGUAACUGACGCUGAUGUGCGAAAGCGUGGGGAUCAAACAGGAUUAGAUACCCUGGUAGUCCACGCCGUAAACGAUGAGUGCUAAGUGUUAGGGGGUUUCCGCCCCUUAGUGCUGCAGCUAACGCAUUAAGCACUCCGCCUGGGGAGUACGACCGCAAGGUUGAAACUCAAAGGAAUUGACGGGGACCCGCACAAGCGGUGGAGCAUGUGGUUUAAUUCGAAGCAACGCGAAGAACCUUACCAAAUCUUGACAUCCUUUGACAACUCUAGAGAUAGAGCCUUCCCCUUCGGGGGACAAAGUGACAGGUGGUGCAUGGUUGUCGUCAGCUCGUGUCGUGAGAUGUUGGGUUAAGUCCCGCAACGAGCGCAACCCUUAAGCUUAGUUGCCAUCAUUAAGUUGGGCACUCUAAGUUGACUGCCGGUGACAAACCGGAGGAAGGUGGGGAUGACGUCAAAUCAUCAUGCCCCUUAUGAUUUGGGCUACACACGUGCUACAAUGGACAAUACAAAGGGCAGCGAAACCGCGAGGUCAAGCAAAUCCCAUAAAGUUGUUCUCAGUUCGGAUUGUAGUCUGCAACUCGACUACAUGAAGCUGGAAUCGCUAGUAAUCGUAGAUCAGCAUGCUACGGUGAAUACGUUCCCGGGUCU
rnacentral:rRNA from 1 species